UGGGUUGUAGCUCAGUUGGUAGAGUGCUUGCCUACUAUACACAAGGCUCUGGGUUCAAUUCCCAGUAGCAUGU
rnacentral:tRNA from 1 species